rnacentral:rRNA from 1 species
AUGGCGGAGGGGCCCUCACCGCCGCUCUGCCGAUGCAGGAUGACACACAUGUCCAGGACACCCGUGUGGAUCUCCGCCGCAACGGAGGAAGGCCUCACCGCCGCCAUCAUCCCCUGCCCGAGCUUUGUCCUGUGGAGCUCCGGCGGCGGCGAGGAGAGGGGCGGCGGUGACUCGAAGCCUAGAUUAGAUCAGGAAGGAGGAGAUCGGGAGGGAGCAUUUGGGGAUGUGCCGGACCCCUAUCCCGUGUGCCCAGCUGACACGGUGUUCCCCGCGCUCCUGAGCUGCCCUGUGGCGCCUUCGCUGCAGGCCCAGCUUCCCGACAAAGAUGCACAGGUGGACACGAGCCCAAUGUACGUCAAGGGGGAUCCAUUUGCCAAGACGAUCUACCAGGAUAGUGAAGUCGGGCCCAGGAAGCGGAACCGUGAUGAGGAGGAUAUUAUACCUGUGGCAGAGCUCAACGAGGUCAUCAAGAACGUGGCGGAAACUGUUUUUGACGAGCAGCAUAGGAGUUUUGAGUACAUGGACAGGGACUGGCUUACAAAGGGUGAGUAUGAAACGUUGGAGUUCAGAAAGAAAGCUCACCCACCUCAGUUCUACGAAGUCAAGAUCCUCCACACUAAAUAUGGCAUCACAGAGUGCCAGGCACUCAGUUCCGCUAUUCCUGAUUUAGUCGACAGGUUCCAUGUGACGGUGAGCCAUGAUCCUCAGGUAAGUUCAAUGCUCAGUUGGCUGUCUAGUGACUUUUCCUGGAAGGAGUCUUCUUCGGAGGAACUUCACUAUGUACUAGCUAACCUGGAGGGAGGAGUGGGGCUCAAGGCCACAGAUUAUUUAGGAGAUUGCAGGUCGUGCUUGUUUGAUGCCAAUGCUGGAGCUAUGCUGGGGGACGGUUCCUUCAAGCUCUUCGCAUGGUUCAACCACCAGCGCAGCUACGGCCAGCGCUGCACUGACAUGAUUCUACACAUGGCAAAGAAGUCUAGAGUUGAUUGA